rnacentral:lncRNA from 1 species
GGGGUUUCGGGGCUGUGGACCCUGUGCCAGGAAAGGAAGCACGCAGCUCCUGUAAUGCGGAGCAGCCAGGGCAGUGGGCACCAGGCUUUAGCCUCCCUUUCUCACCCUAUGGAGGGCAGGCCCUUCAGCUCCAUUUUCCUCCAAGGCUGCAAAGGGGGCAGGAAUUCGGGGUGACAGGAGAGCCGUAAGGUCUCCAGGUGGGUCAUUCUGGGCUCAGAGAUGGGUGCUGAGGCUCCCAUGCCUCCCUGUGAAAGUGGAGUCCUCUCUCACCUGGGACAGCCAGGUGCUGCCCUGAGAAGGGUGCAUUCAUGGCUUCAUGAAUUCUUUCCUGACCCCCAAUGCUUACUUAUAGAGACAAAGUCUCACUAUGUUGCUCAGGCUGGUCUUGAACUCUUGGCCUCAAGCAAUCCUCCCACCUUAGCCUUCCAAAGUGUUGGGAUUAUAGGCAUGAGCCACUGCACCUGGCCGACCUUGGGCAAGUUCUUAAACCCCUCAAAGCCUCAUUUUUCUCCAAUCAUAAAAGGGAAUGAUGGUAAUAUUUUCCCCGCCAAAUUCUUGUAAGUAUUAAACAUUGCAUAUGUAUUUUGAA